GUUGAAACCGCACCGCACAACUUCAUGCUAGCAAGAUGGUACGUUGCUGUGGAGGCUGUUUGAAGCUGUCAGUCACAAAAGUUUGUUCUCCAUGACAGAAAAUGUUAACAUCUAACAGCAGAUCCUGCUGCUCAUCGGCCAUUUGAGCGAUGAAGAGGAAGUUAAGGAGCAGCACUUGAGUUAACUGUUGAGUCCUACUCUUCCCCUCAGACAGCCAGAAAUUCCAGACAACCAGAGAUCCCAGAUGUGACCAUAGACUGUAUAAAAGAAGUCGACAUAGCCACCGUGAUGUCACCCAUUGCCGUGUGGAUUCCCAUUCUGGAUUCUGGAUUCUGGAUUCUGGAUUCGUGAAGCCAGAAGUGACCAUAUUAAGAUGAGAGGGU